CAACUAAGCGUUACUGAGCUACCUCAAUGAGCCAGUCUCUGCCCUGAGCACUUUUCAUGUACCACUUCAUUCAACCCCCACAAAGGCACCAGGAUGAAGGGACCACUAUCAACUCCCCUUUGUCCAUGAAGGAAUGGAUGUUAGAGAAAGGAGAUCAUACCACAUGGGCCUGGCCUAAUCAGUCGCGUCUCUAAAAGCAGUCAGAGAGAUUCAAAGGGGCAGAUUGUCCUUGCAACCAUGAAAAAGCAAACAUGUUGUGAACUGCCUAUGGCUGGAGCCACAUGGCAAGGACCCGAGGACAGUUUCUAGGAGCGGAGAGUGCCCGCUGACAGCCACCAAGAAAAUAGGGACUCAGCCCUACAACCACAAGGAACUGAAUUCUGACAAUAAGCAGUGAUAGUGGAAGAGCCCUCCGAGCCUCAAAUGAAGUCACAGCCUCGUAUGACGCCUUGACUCAGCCUGGAGAGACCUCAGCCGAGGGACUAACUAACCCCCAACAGCAUCUCCGAUCUACAAAACCGUGAAAGAAUAAACAGGUGUCAUUGUAA